rnacentral:rRNA from 1 species
UACGAAGGGGGCUAGCGUUGUUCGGAAUUACUGGGCGUAAAGCGCACGUAGGCGGACUGUCAAGUCAGGGGUGAAAUCACGGGGCUCAACCUCGGAACUGCCUUUGAUACUGUCAGUCUAGAGUCCGGAAGAGGUGGGUGGAAUUCCUAGUGUAGAGGUGAAAUUCGCAGAUAUUAGGAAGAACACCGGUGGCGAAGGCGGCCCACUGGUCCGGUACUGACGCUGAGGUGCGAAAGCGUGGGGAUCAAACAGG